UACGUAGGGGGCAAGCGUUGUCCGGAUUUAUUGGGCGUAAAGAGCUCGUAGGCGGUGUGUCACGUCGUUCGUGAAAACCUGCAGCUUAACUGUGGGCGUGCGGUCGAUACGGGCAUCACUGGAGUUCGGCAGGGGAGACUGGAAUUCCUGGUGUAGCGGUGAAAUGCGCAGAUAUCAGGAGGAACACCGGUGGCGAAGGCGGGUCUCUGGGCCGAUACUGACGCUGGAGGAGCG
rnacentral:rRNA from 1 species